GGUCAAUGGGCGCAAGCCUGAACCAGCUAUGCCGCGUGAAGGAUGAAGGCCCUAUGGGUCGUAAACUUCUUUUGUACGGGAAGAAAUCCUUUUAUGUAUAAAAGGUUGACGGUACUGUAAGAAUAAGGAUCGGCUAACUCCGUGCCAGCAGCCGCGGUAAUACGGAGGA
rnacentral:rRNA from 1 species